rnacentral:rRNA from 1 species
AUGAACGACUGGCGGUGUGCCUAAUACAUGCAAGUCGAUCGGGCGUAGCAAUACGUCAGAGGCGUACGGGUGAGUAACACGUAGGUAACCUACCUUUAAGACUGGGAUACCCAGACGAAAGUUUGGCUAAUACCGGAUAACAACAUUUGAGACAUCUCUUUUGUUUGAAAGGCGCUGCAAGGCGCCACUUUUUAGAUGGACCUGCGUCGCAUUAGCUAGUUGGUGAGAUAAAAGCCCACCAAGGCUGGGAUGCGUAGCCGAUCUGAGAGGAUGACCGGCCACAAUGGGACUGAGACACGGCCCAUACUCCUACGGGAGGCAGCAGUAGGGAGUUUUCGGCAAUGGGGGAAACCCUGACCGAGCAACACCGCGUGAGUGAUUGAAGGUCUUCGGAUCGUAAAGCUCUGUUACGAGGGACGAAUGAUCGCUUUAGGAAAUGAGAGCGGUUUGACGGUACCUCGCCAGAAAGCGACGGCUAACUACGUGCCAGCAGCGGC